rnacentral:ncRNA from 1 species
UUUUUGGAGAGUUUGAUCCUGGCUCAGGACGAACGCUGGCGGCGUGCCUAAUACAUGCAAGUCGAGCGGACUUUUAA